rnacentral:rRNA from 3 species
UACAGAGGGGGCAAGCGUUGUUCGGAAUUACUGGGCGUAAAGGGCGCGUAGGCGGCCCUCUAAGUCGAACGUGAAAUCCCUGGGCUCAACCCAGGAACUGCGUCCGAGACUGGGGGGCUAGAAUCCGGGAGAGGGAUGUGGAAUUCCAGGUGUAGCGGUGAAAUGCGUAGAUAUCUGGAGGAACAUCGGUGGCGAAGGCGGCAUCCUGGACCGGUAUUGACGCUGAGGCGCGAAAGCCAGGGGAGCAAACGGG